AGAACGAACGCUGGCGGCAGGCCUCAAACAUGCAAGUCUAGGGGGCGUAGCAAUACGUUACCGGCGGACGGGUGCGUAACACGUGGGAAUGUACUUACUGGUUCGGAACAACUCAGGGAAACUUGAGCUAAUACCGAAUGUGCCCGAAAGGGGAAAGAUUUAUCGCCAGUAAAUCAGCCCGCGUCCGAUUAGCUAGUUGGCGGGGUAAAGGCCCACCAAGGCGACGAUCGGUAGCUGUUCUGAGAGGAAGAUCAGCCACACUGGGACUGAGACACGGCCCAGACUCCUACGGGAGGCAGCAGUUGGGAAUCUUGGACAAUGGGGGAAACCCUGAUCCAGCCAUGCCGCGUGAGUGAUGAAGGCCUUCGGGUUGUAAAACUCUUUCGACGGGGACGAUAAUGACGGUACCCGUAGAAGAAGCUCCGGCUAACUUCGUGCCAGCAGCCGC
rnacentral:rRNA from 1 species